GCCUAGUAAUUGCCUACUCAGUUACUCAUCAACCGUCACCCCGAUGAGAGUGGUGCAGAAAGCUCAUGACGAUUUCGCACUCGCAGGAGGAAAUGCUUUUUGAUUGAGUUCACUGAACUGUACAAGGAGCGCCCAUGACUGUGGAAAGAGAAAAAGACCGAAAUAUAGUGAUUGGAAUAACGGAAGAGCAGCAUACAAUAUUACUGUGGCAAUCUCAAAGAGAGUAACGCCACAGCUGCGCGAAAUUAAGUGACGAAGAACUCAGUGAGAAAAACUGUAUGUAUGGAACAUAAAAUGGUGGUGAUCUCAGUGUUACAUGGUCCCUAUAUAAGACAAUACGAUCUUCUUAUGUUCAUCAAGGAUCAAGAAAUAGCUCGAUUCCUAGUACUAGUAAUAAUGAGUGCUUGCAAUGGUCGGAGGAACGAACCAUCCUGGCUUCUGGAGAUAAAAUCAGUCAUUGAUUGAUCCAGGCAAUGUUGGAGGCUAAGUAGGACAUCUGAUUAAAAUAUAGUUUAUCGUGAUUUAGUGUGUUGAUCUAUAUCCGUUCUUAGUUUAAUAUAAAUUGCUGUUAUAUUUGAUAGCAUAAGUAGACACUGAUUAGUGGAUGUGGCCUAAGUAGUGACACUGGAAAAAAAUAUAUAAAAAUAAAAUUAUAAUAGUGAAUUAAAGAGAAAUGUACGUCCUAAUCUGACAAUUACAUUUAAAAUCAACUGAUGAAGCUGAACUAAAAAAUAAAAACAAUAAAUAUAAGUGAAUGACGUUAGUGUAAGGGUAUCCAUCCAUACACAAAUUUCCACGGGAACUCCGACGUCACUUUUCUGGUGAAGCCAGUCACAUCGGUUUGCAUAAAGGUAAGAUUAUA